UCCCGCCCUGCUCGUUAGUCCGACUGUGUAUAUAUGCCUGGUGUUUCUGUCUUGUCUUUGUCGGGUCAUUGUAUGCUGUCUCCUGGAGUUGCUGUGAGGUCUCCUGUUGGUUGUCGUGUCUCCUGUUCAUGUUAUGCUGCUCUCUUUAGAUCUCUGUUUGGACUACCUUAGUUUUUGGACUCUGUAUUCAGCCACUCACCUGUAAGUGUGCUCGCUUUUGGUUCGUUCAUUAAAACCCCUUUGUACUGUACCUCUUCCUGCCUUGCGUCCUGCGUUUGGGUCCUCCAACCUGCCUCACCCACACCAAACCGUGACAACAUGCUACCCAACGAUACCCUGACUGCUGUUAGGUACCGGAAUGAAAUCCUCAGGGCUGUUAGACAGCUAUACUCCAACACUACUAACUGACUGCCACAUGUCAUUUGUGGUUGUUUGUGUUGGUUUCAAAUAAAUAAAUGGUUGAUUUGCUUUAACACCUUGUGUCACAUGUCAUUUGUUUUUGAGCUGUGUUCUGUCAAUGUGUGCUACAUAUUGAGAUGUGCUAUUUAGCAUCUUAUUAGGUUUAGACUCGACAAGGCAGCAUAUAUCGUCAGAACACAGCCUCAUGUGGCCAGAAGUUUCUGGAUGGCGAAGGCAGAGAUGCCAUUGACUGGCCCUCAUGUACCCCAGAACUGAAUCCAGUUCAGAAGAUCUGGGACUGGGCAUCUGAUGCCGCCAUUAACUGUCCAUGUUGUGGUACUACAGAAUCUCUCCACUACCUUGUGUUCUUUUGUUUCCCCCCCCUUCCCUGUGUUUUCUGUCUGUCCUCCCUGUCUGUGUUUGUCUGGGUGUGGCUACACUCUCUGGCUCCAGCGGCGCACCUGGUCCUCAUUCCACUAAUCAAGCUCCUGCAAUAUUUCAACCCAGUCCUCCUCACAUUCUUCGCCAGAUCGUCAGUUAACCACAUGUGGAUCACACUACCUCCGGGAACUCUGCUGAACGCCACAUCUUGCUCAGCUCACAUCUUGCCUGGACAAACUCCCCUCCUCCGUGUUCUCCAUUCUGCCCUGUUGGAACCUACCACCCAGUCUUCCGUUGCUCUUUUCAAUAAAACCCUCUGUUACCCCUUCGAA